rnacentral:rRNA from 1 species
UACGUAGGGGGGCAAGCGUUUGUCCGGAAUCAUUGGGCGUAAAGCGCGUGUAGGCGGCCCCGAUAAGUCCGCUGUGAAAGUCCAGGGCUCAACCCUGGAAGGCCGGUGGAUACUGUCGGGCUAGAGUGCGGAAGAGGCGAGUGGAAUUCCCGGUGUAGCGGUGAAAUGCGCAGAUAUCGGGAGGAACACCAAUGGCGAAGGCAGCCUUCUGGGCCAACACUGACGCUCAUGCACGAAAAGCGUGGGGGAGCAAACAGG